rnacentral:rRNA from 1 species
GUAUUGGCCUACCGUGGCAAUGACGGGUAACGGGGAAUUAGGGUUCGAUUCCGGAGAGGGAGCCUGAGAAACGGCUACCACAUCUAAGGAAGGCAGCAGGCGCGCAAAUUACCCAAUCCUAAUACAGGGAGGUAGUGACAAGAAAUAACAAUACAGGACUUUUUGGUUUUGUAAUUGGAAUGAGUUAAGUAUAAACCCCUUUACAAGUAUCAAUUGGAGGGCAAGUCUCGUGCCAGCGGCCGCGGUAAUUCCAGCUCCACUAGCGUAUAUUAAAGUUGUUGCAGUUAAAAAGCUCGUAGUUGGAUUUCUGUUAAUAAUUUAUAUAAAAUACUUAGGUGUUUAUAUGAUAUUAACAUAAUUCAUAUUACUAUAUUUUUUUAGUAUAUGAAAUUUUACUUUGAGAAAAUUAGAGUGCUUAAAGCAGGCGUUAGCCUUGAAUACUCCAGCAUGGAAUAAUAUUAAAGAUUUUUAUCUUUCUUAUUGGUUCUAAGAUAAGAAUAAUGAUUAAUAGGGACAGUUGGGGGCAUUUGUAUUUAA